rnacentral:rRNA from 1 species
UGUUGUGGUUAAAAAGCUCGUAGUUGGAUCUCGGCGGACUGAGGGCGGUUUGCUUGCUAGUAUUACUGCCCUAUAGUCCGUAGUUUUGCCAGAGGUUUCGGGGUGCUCUUAAUCGAGUGUCCCGGGAUGCUGGCAGGUUUACUUUGAAAAAAUUAGAGUGCUCAAAGCAGGCUAUUACGCCUGAAUAUUCGUGCAUGGAAUAAUAGAAUAGGAAGUCGUUUCUAUUUUGUUGGUUUUCGGAAAUCGACUUAAUGAUUAAUAGGGACAGUCGGGGGCAUUUGUAUUCAAACGACAGAGGUGAAAUUCUUGGACCGUUUGAAGACAAACUACUGCGAAAGCAUUUGCCAAGAAUGUUUUCAUUAAUCAAGAACGAAAGUUAAAGGUUCGAAGGCGAUUAGAUACCGCCCUAGUUUUAACCAUAAACGAUGCCAGCUAGCGAUCUGCGGACGUUUUUUUUGUAGACUCCGCAGGAAGCUUCCCGGGAAACCAAAGCAUUUGGGUUCCAGGGGAAGUAUGGUUGCAAAAGGCUGGAAACUU